GAUGAACGCUGGCGGCGUGCCUAAUACAUGCCAGUCGAGCGAACAGACGAGGAGCUUGCUCCUCUGACGUUAGCGGCGGACGGGUGAGUAACACGUGGAUAACCUACCUAUAAGACUGGGAUAACUUCGGGAAACCGGAGCUAAUACCGGAUAACAUGUUGAACCGCAUGGUUCAACAGUGAAAGACGGUCUUGCUGUCACUUCUAGAUGGAUCCGCGCCGCAUUAGCUAGUUGGUAAGGUAACGGCUUAUCAAGGCAACGAUGCGUAGCCGACCUGAGAGGGUGAUCGGCCACACUGGAACUGAGACACCGUCCAGACUCCUACGGGAGGCAGCAGUAGGGAAUCUUCCGCAAUGGGCGAAAGCCUGACGGAGCAACGCCGCGUGAGUGAAGAAGGUCUUCGGAGCGUAAAACUCUGUUAUUAGGGAAGAACAAAUGUGUAAGUAACUAUGCACGUCUUGACGGUACCUAAUCAGAAAGCCACGGCUAACUACGUG
rnacentral:rRNA from 1 species